UUGAACCUUCUCAAACAAUGCUAGUUCGAAUAUCUAAAUUUCGACAUAUUGGCAACAACGCUUACCUCUUCAGUUCAGUGGGAUUUUCUACAGAUGAAGCAAUUUCUACCACCACCAAGAACCCUUUCUUGUCAGACUACCUCAUCAAAUCACUGGGAUUCUCUAGAGAGGAAGCGAAUUCUGCAACUGCCAAGUUAAACAGCAUGAAACUCCCUAAGAAUCCUGAUUUGGUAAUCAAAUUCUUUCAAGAGAUUUGUUUAGAACGGACAGACAUCAAGAAGUUAGUUUCUAUUACCCCACAGCUGCUUUUUUCUGAUGUAAACAGGACUCUUAAACCCAAAUUUCAGUGUCUAAUAGAAUUUGGGUUGUCUGGAUCCGACCUAGUAAAUCUCUUCAGAUCGGACGUACGAGCUCUGUUUCGAGGAGUAGAUUCUCAUUUCAGGCCUAAUUUGGAGUAUCUUAGGAAACUAUUUAGUAGUGAAGAAUGUUUGGUUAAAGCUAUAAAGAAAUCACCUUGGUUACUUGCUCCAAAUGGUCCAAAACAAAUCAAUCCCAAAAUAUUGUUGUUGCAAAGGUUUGGUUUUUCAAAUCCCAAAAUCGAGAAGCUUUUAGUUCAGAAACCACGGGUAGUUUUGCAAAAAACUGGGUGGCUGGAAGAGAAAUUGCACAGAGUUGAAAAGGAUUUACAGAUUUCUCCAAAAUCUGGAAUGUUUUUCUAUGGAGUUAUUGCACUUGUUUCAGUUAGUAACUCAACAGUGAAAAGGAAAAUGGGAAUUUUCCGGAGUUGUGGAUGGUGUGAUCUGGAUAUAAUGACUGUGUUCAGAAAGCAACCUCUCUGUUUGGUUAUGUCGGAAGCUAAAAUUCAGCGAGCAUUGGACUUUUUCAUGGGGGAACUCGGAUACAAACCGGAACACUUGGUUUGUAAUCCUGCGGUUCUAAUGCUUAGCUUGGACAAGAGAGUGAUUUCUAGAAAUGAUGUACUGAAAGUUUUAGAGGGGAAGAAGCUGAAUCAGAAAGUAUCUUUUUUGAGAGCUUUACGUCUAUCUGAAUGUAUGUUUCGUUCAAUAUUCGUGCUUCCUUACAAGGAUGAGGUACCUAAUCUAUAUGAGUCAUAUAUGACUUCCGUGAGACGUUAGAGACACGACGCUCAAAUGAGAUUUAGGCAUCGCAGAGUUCGCUCUUGAGUGCUGAUUCUCUCAAUUCAGGCAGUGAUUCAGAGACUACGAGGACAAUUUGCAGAAAAGAGGCUACAGUUUGUGGAGUGUGCAAUAGGUGUUACCUUUGUGAAGAAAGCAGGCACCAAUGAAUCAUCUCGCCCUUCAUUGCAGAGUAUCUAGACAAUGCUGGGAUCUAUUUGUCAGCAUCUGCGGUAUUUCUUGGGUGAUGCCUAGAUACGUCAGGAGUUUAUUACAAGCUUGGCAAUCUCAAAGAGUACCUAGAAGGCUGAAACAGACAUGGAGAACCAUUCCGCUGUACAUUCUAUGGACCUUAUGGCUAGAAAGAAACAAUGCUUGCUUGAAGGACAUAUGAAUCAUAUUAUUAGAAUUAAGAAUAUACGUCUCCAUAAUCUGUACUUUUGGUGUAAAUGUAGUCAGAUUAGGACAUCUGAAUCAAUAUGGACUUUCUGGAGGUGUUAGGAGGGGAGAAUAGCUUGCUGAUGUUGUCACUUGGAAUGUUUUUUGUAUCAUCUUGGUAUCUUAUAAAUAAACUUUAACCCAAAAA